CGUGUAGGCGGGUCUUUAAGUCAGGGGUGAAAUGCCAAGGCUCAACCUUGGAACUGCCUUUGAUACUGGGGACCUUGAGUCCGGGAGAGGUGAGUGGAACUGCGAGUGUAGAGGUGAAAUUCGUAGAUAUUCGCAAGAACACCAGUGGCGAAGGCGGCUCACUGGCCCGGAACUGACGCUGAGACGCGAAAGCGUGGGGAGCAAACAGGAUUAGAUACCCUGGUAGUCCACGCCGUAAACGAUGGAUGCUAGCCGUUGGGGAGCUUGCUCUUCAGUGGCGCAGCCAACGCUUUAAGCAUCCCGCCUGGGGAGUACGGUCGCAAGAUUAAA
rnacentral:rRNA from 1 species